UGAGUUUCAUACUCGACAGGGAGCGGACAAGGCCAAGAAGAAAGAAGGGGAGAAGGAUGAUAAGACCAAGAAGUCGGUGCCGAUCGAGUUCCGGAAAUCCGAGGCCGAGAAUCAGUAUGGCGGACGUGGUGGCAAUCGCGGCCGCGGCCGCGGGAGAGGCCUCAA